rnacentral:rRNA from 1 species
CCUACGGGGGGCAGCAGUCGAGAAUCAUUCACAAUGGGGGAAACCCUGAUGGUGCGACGCCGCGUGGGGGAAUGAAGGUCUUCGGAUUGUAAACCCCUGUCAUGUGGGAGCAAAUUAAAAAGAUAGUACCACAAGAGGAAGAGACGGCUAACUCUGUGCCAGCAGCCGCGGUACUACAGAGGUCUCAAGCUUUGUUCGGAAUCACUGGGCGUAAAGCGUGCGUAGGCUGUUUCGUAAGUCGUGUGUGAAAGGCGCGGGCUCAACCCGCGGACGGCACAUGAUACUGCGAGACUAGAGUAAUGGAGGGGGAACCGGAAUUCUCGGUGUAGCAGUGAAAUGCGUAGAUAUCGAGAGGAACACUCGUGGCGAAGGCGGGUUCCUGGACAUUAACUGACGCUGAGGCACGAAGGCCAGGGGAGCGAAAGGGAUUAGAUACCCCUGUAGUC